rnacentral:rRNA from 1 species
CACGUAGGGCGCAAGCGUUGUCCGGAAUUAUUGGGCGUAAAGAGCUCGUAGGUGGUUUGUCGCGUUGUUCGUGAAAACUCACAGCUCAACUGUGGGCGUGCGGGCGAUACGGGCAGACUAGAGUACUGCAGGGGAGACUGGAAUUCCUGGUGUAGCGGUGAAAUGCGCAGAUAUCAGGAGGAACACCGGUGGCGAAGGCGGGUCUCUGGGCCGAUACUGACGCUGGAGGAGCGAAAGCGUGGGGAGCGAACAGG